AUUGAACGCUGACAGAAUGCUUAACACAUGCAAGUCAACUGUGGCGUACGGGUGAGUAACGCGUAAAGAACUUGACUCACGGAUAGGGACAACAUUUGGAAACGAAUGCUAAUACCUGAUACUGUGAGAGAGCUUUGCGUCCCAUUCGCGAGUUGGAUAGGUAACGGCUCACCAAGGCGAUGAUAGGUAGCCGGCGUGAGAGGGUGAUCGGCCACAAGGGGACUGAGAAACGGCCCUUACGCAUACGGGGGGCAGCAGUGGGGAUUAUAGGACAAUGGACCAAAGUCUGUGACAGCAAUUCUGGGUGCAAGAGGAAGUUUUCGGAAGGAAAAGUGCUUUCAGUUGGGAAGCGGUACCAACAUAAGAAGUGACGGCUAAAUACGUGCCAGCAGCCGCGGUAAUAC
rnacentral:rRNA from 1 species